UUGCUGUUCCAUAACUUCCAGAGGCCAUUAAUUGUCAAUCAGAAUGAAAAAUUUAUAAUUUCAGUCAGUUCCAGCAUGACAGGAAAGUCCAUAUGGUCUUUAAAUGAAGGGAGUAGAACUUAUGGUUUAGUACUGGUCCUAUAAAAGUUACUUUCCUGAUCACAGCCACAGCUUGGGGGAGCAGAGAGAAUGGAUGAGAACUUUGCUGGUCCUUGAACCACCAUUAAACUAGCUAAGUAACCCAACAUCACUCAGAAUUAAGCAGCAGAGCCAAGAUUUGAAUGUUAGUCUUUGGAUUCCAGGUCCACUGAUUACCCUUCCCAUAGUAAUACAAGUGUUACCUGCACUAAUGGCACUUUUCUGGUCAGGAAGGAGCCAUGCUUGUAACCUGAUCCCUUUGAACACUGACCUUGCCCAGGCAGUCUGGGGCUUUGUGUAACCUAUUAAGUAAAAAUUGCCCUACCCAGGCUCUUGGUACAGUGGUGCCCCUGGGUCUGGUCUAAGUGGGUAGUGGCAUAGGAAGUCCUCAGGGGAAGAGAAGCUGUGAGCCUGCCCUUGGGGAGGGAGGGAGGAGGGGCCAGUGCAGUGAAAACUGAGCUGGCUUAUGAAAUCCCCUUUUAAACCAAGUAAUAAAAGCAGACCUUCUGGUUUUCUUUUUUAAGGGCGUGUGUUUCUUCUGUGGUAUUAGGGAGUUACAUUUUGUUUAGUUUUUCCUGGAAACCAGUAAGCAGGAGAUGCCCCUAACUUGCCUUAAAGACCCAGGGAAACAAGCAACGGGGCCCUCUGCCAGGAAGCUGUUAACUUCCUUUUGAGGCUGUGUGAAUGUAAACAUCCCUUUCAGUCAUAGAAGUCAGAUGGGGAAGUUGGUUCUCAGAAAAGUUGUGACUUCCUUCAGAAGCAGGAGCUGUUCCCUCAAAUAGCAUCCUUUGUGAGGUGGAGCUUCCUGGCACUGGAAAUGUUCAGAAGGAUAAUAAA